CUCGUGCUGAAGUUGCCGCACCUAUACAGCAUUCAAAUCAUGAAUUUGAUUGAGUAUUGCCUUUUAUAUUUCAUAUAGUAGUACAAAGCAUAGAGUUUGGGUCUCCUGUCUAGCGAACCUCAACUUGCUCGGGAGUCAGGACUAAAAACAAAUAUAAGUAACUUUCAUGCCCAGAUGACCAGUGGAAUAUAUAUAAAAAUAUGUAUUCAUAGUACUUUUAUCUUUUAAAUAUGUUAGAUGAUUUGGUUCAGUCUGUAAGAAAAGUUAUACUAUAAUGUAAACAUGUUUUCCAUUAAAGAAGAGUCGGGGAUAGGGCAUGAGCUACCUUGGAUACAAUUAUCAUAUAUAGAGAGAGAGACAGAAAGAGUGAUAGUUUUGUGCACAUGGUCUGGGAAAAGAGAGGAAUAUAUAUAUAAAGAAAGGCAAGUAAGGUUUAGUCACUUAGACUCAGGGAUCAUGUGCAUCCAUGGACAACUGAAAACGACAAGGUUAUGUUUCAGCUUUAGCAAAGGCAAUCACGCACUACACAACACUAUGGCUGCAGGCUGCAUGGAGAGGUACCUCAUCUUCCAUAGAUUUAAUA
rnacentral:misc_RNA from 1 species